GCUAUGGCGGUGGCGGCGGCGGCUACGGAGGUGGCGGCGGUGGCUACGGAGGUGGCGGCGGCAGCUACGGCGGCGGUGGCGGCUACGGAGGUGGUGGUGGCGGCGGCCGCUACGGAGGAGGCAGCGGUGGCGGCCGUGAGUGCUACAAGUGCGGCGAGGAGGGCCACAUCUCCAGGGACUGCCCCCAGGGCGGCGGUGGCGGUGGUGGUGGCUACGGAGGCGGUGGCGGCCGUGGCGGUGGUGGUGGCGGUGGCGGCUGCUUCUCCUGCGGCGAGUCCGGCCACUUCUCGCGCGAGUGCCCCAACAAGACCAACUAGGCGGCGCUGCCCGUCAGAUCUGAGUUCCCCGUUCCCCUUCGCUCCUUUUCCUACCGCCUGACUCUGCAGCAAGUCAUACCUAUACCUAUCAGUAUUAGUAUAUGUCGCCGUAGUGUUCCCGUGCUUCUCGUAGGAAGAAGAAUCGACGAUGCGAGCUUGGUUCCAGAAGUAUUGUUGGUGGAUUAUUGUUCGUUCGAAGUUAUCUUGUCGUGUCGUCUGAUGUGGACAGACUGAUCUAUCUCUAUGUAUUGGAUGGACCGAAGUUAUGCAAGUCUAAGUUAUGCUGUCUGAUUAUUGAUCUCGAUGAAACUUGCAUAUCAUUUUCAUUUUCCUAAAACAAAAACAGUUUAUUUUUUUCAUUUUGUGAAGUGUCAGGUUUCCAGUUGUUGGAUCUUUGUGUGCAUCUCGGAGCGUGCUCCUCUGUGGUUGUACAGGCUUGAUUGUUCAUUGUUUUAUGUGACUGUUUAGUGUGGUUGGAUGGAUUGUGGAAAUUGCAUGCUUAACUAUGACUGUUCACAGAUUAGUAUUAGUACAUUUGUUCAGAGAUUAGUUUUAGUACAUUUGUUCAGAGAUUAGUUUUUUUCAUGUGUUAUAUUUGUUCAGAUAUUAGUAUUGGUAUAUAUGUUUGAUGCAUGAAUGAACAGCCCCACUAUUUAUAUCUGUGUACUGAGGUCAACAAGGUUUCGUAGCUAUGUUGUGCUUACAGUUUCUCUAUGCUUUCUGUUCCUUUGUCUGUCAGCUUGCAUCGUUGUUCAGUAUAUCGGUAUUUGGAGUUUUAAUCUGUCUUACUUACAGUCAUUGAGCUCUUGCCUGGCGAUGGCUUCUUAUAUCCAGUAAUUUUCUUUUGGUCUCUCUUUGUCGUCAACCUCUUACUCAGUUUUUAGCCUUUUAAUUCUCAUCUUUUUUCUUCAGCUUCACCAGUUUCUUUGUUCCUGUUUGAAGUUUCUCAAAUUUUGUCCAUGGCACAUUGCAUUAUUUAUUCAUAUUGCGGUAAUGAUUAUGACAAUUAUAUCCUUAUUUUUUGGAAGUGACAAACAAAGAAGCACCCAGAGUUAAGACACUUUCUUUUUGCAAGCUUUAUUUUUUUGCAUUUGCAUGGUUGGUUUUUGCAUUGGUGAAUUUCAUGUGCAACCAAGCUGUAAGUCAGUCACCUUGUUUCAUUUUGUACUGAUGAAUGGAAGUUAUCGUUUGCUUGCUAUGAAGUUCUUUUUUUUUUAAAUCUAAAAUUGACAGGCAAUUGCAUUUGUAGCCAUAAACGGAACAGACACCUUUGUGAUAGUCCAAGUAGCAUACUUUUGUUAGCUAUUCAGAAAAGAUGUUGCUAUACUAUCUCUUACUGCGGCUUAAAUUGUUUUAAAUUGUUGUUCUCAUCUUUCUAUGUCUUUGUUCCGUCAGUCUUGUAUCUCAUCAGGAUUUAGUGUGUGUUUUGUCAGUCUUCAGUGUCUUGCAUCUCAUCAGGAUUUAGUGUGUGUUUCUUCAGUCUUUUCUCUGUCAGUGUUUAGAUUUCAGUGCUAUAUCAGAUACAGUAUAUCUUUACCAACGCAGCAUUUUGUCAAAAAAUCAAGUCUAUCUAGCUUUUUCUCUUACAUUUUUGCCUCGAGUUUUUGUGCAGCUAUGUUUUCUUUUUCCAGAGAUGAUCACAUGUAUGUAUUUUACCGUGUGUUUAUCUAGUUGUAAUGUCAAGUGCCAGGUCAUUGUGGGAUGAAUGUUUCUCGAGUAUGAUCUGUAGUAGACUACGAAGAAUCCUGAAAUCUCGGAUUUUGGUGGCAAAUUAGACUCUGCGUAUAUAUUAAUAUCAAAGUAGACUAUCAAUUUAAUUUUGAUUGGUGAUGCUUAUCAUGUGCAUUGUGGGAUCAAUGUUUCUUGAUUUUUAGUUGUAGAGUAUUUUUAGGAGCCGAUGGAUCUUGAAUUCAAGGACUAGUUCUGAAUCUGUUACAUUUUGGCCAACGAGCUCAGUGAGUUACUCCCUUUGUUUGGAAUUACUCGUCGAAGAAAUGAAUGUAUCUAGAUAUAUUUUAGUUGUAGAUACAUCCAUUUUUGUUUCCGGAGGGAGUACAUGUCAACAAUUUACUCUAGCAUUGUAUAUUUGAACUCGUCUGGCUGGGCAACUUGUACCGUUUAUAUGGUUUUAUUUAGUUUUGUGUAUACAUAACCUGAUUUCAUAUGCUUGGCUGAAAAUUGCACGGGUAAGUUUCAUGUUGCUUGUUCCGAAGAGUGCUGUAUGGAGGUUUGGUUAUCAAUGAAUGUCAAAGGAUGAAAAGAGCAACAACAGAAUAAGGUCAUUUUGCUUACCUCUCCAGGAUUUUAGUGUGUUUCUUCAGUCUUCUCUCUGUUUUCACUUAAGAUGUCAGUGCGAAAACACCCGUGUCUUAUGAAAUCCAUUUCUUUAAAUGUAACCUUCAAAUUUUCUAGCUUGCAGGACUAUCCGUCCUUUUUACAUUUUUGCCUUCGGUUUUUGUGUUACUUCUGCUGAAGGUGGAUGCUGUCGGUUUUCCAAAUUGUGAACAUGAGCAAGGUAGGAAUUACGUAGUUUCAGCUUUCAUGAAACAGAAAAGCUAACCAGCGAACGUGAGAUUUUUGGUGAUCUCCAGCGAAACACCCUUCCUCAUCCUGAUCCACCCCCGCCCCCACUUUCCUCUUCAGAGCAAGCCCCCUCCUCGAUCGUCGGCGAGUCUAUUCUCGUCGUCUAUGAUAUCUUGUGCGGCCGCGUCGAGUUUCUUCCGUCAGUCCUCGACGACGAUUAAACACGGAGCUCGACUUGCUGAUGUUCUUCCCUCCCAAGAUCGCCCAUCGUGAGCAGCCUCGCUCUUUCCCGAUGCAACCAGACUGAAUGCUGAGCGAGGAGGCACGGGCGUCGCCCGAACCGCAAUGGAUGGACUCGCUCGAGUUACGCCGGCGUGCCUUGCAGCUGUCGCUGCCCCUCUAGGAGAUCGACGCCAGCGCUGUCGCUGCCCCUCUAGGAGAUCGACGCCAGCGCGGCGACCUACGACUUGGCCUGGAGCCCCUGUGCCUACCUGCUCACCAUGGCUGCCGCAAGGAGCUCCUGCGCUAGAUCCAACACCGCGCAGGCUGCCCCCAAGCUUCCAAGUUCCAACCACCGUCUCGACGAACCGCGGCGUGGUGCUCGUCCCCUUAGGUCCCGCCCCCCUCCCCUGCUUGCUCCCUCCCUUCCACCUUCCACGUCUUUCUUCUGUUCUUUGUGCUCCCCAUUGGUGUGUGCUAGACCAGCCCUGGCCGGUCCUUGUGUGCGCACUGUGUGACGGACCGCAGCGUUCAUCCCCUUAGGUUCUUCUCCCCCUGCCCGCUCCCUCCCUUCCAUCUUUCUUCUUCUGUUUUUUGUGCUCCCCAUUGGUGCGUGCUCGCUGGUCUAUGGCCAUGGCCGGUCCUUGUGUUCUCGCUGUGCUUCCGGCUCAUAGCGGUUCAGUAGACUUGCACAGGUUUCUUCAGAUUUCCAACGUGAAUGAAUUUAUUUUUAUGCCAAAUACCAGCUAGAUUAGGCUAUGAGGAUGGGCCAACUCAUGUAAUAACAUAAUGGAAAAUCCAGAUCUGUUGUCAUGGUUAUAUCAUGCGAAUUGUCACGGCUUUCUAUCAUGGCAAUUCACCAAUCCUAUUUCUUUUUUGUUGCGCCGCACUGUGAGGCAUCUCGCAUUUUAUAUCAGUAUGCAAGUUAGUCUAGUUGGUAAAUUCACAUUAGGUGUGUAGAUAGCGCAGACAAACUACAAUGGCAAAUUCACAUUAGGCAUGUAUAUGGUUUUUAGUUGGCAAAUUCACAAUUUGUAAACUGCCAUGGCACUUUUUUAUACUCCAUUACUAUUACAAGGCCACUUCAUUUUUAUGUCUAAUUUUGACCAUUAAUUUUACCAACAAAAUUUGAGUUAUAUGCCAUAAUAAGCAUGCCAUUAGAUGCACAUUUGAAAGAACUUUUUAUGAUAUAUUUUUUGUGACAAACGACCCAUAUAUUUUAUUUUUUUGCGAAUGAACCCAUAUUUUCUUGACCAAAAUUGUGAGUCAAAGUUUGACAUGAAAAAUGAAGUGGCCUUGUAUAUAAAAAUGGAGAGAGUAUAAUCUUGCAAUGUUACAUAGUUGCAAUUGGUGAAGGCACUUUCCACACCAAUUUUGACAAUCAGUAAACUACCAUGGCAAUUAGUCUUUCUUUUUGCAAUGACCCUUACAUAUUUUUGCCAUUUUAUAUAGUCAUUAAUUGUUGUUGUGGAUGCAAUUUUCGCCCUUCACAGUCCGUAAAAUUGCCGUGGGCCUUGUAUAUAAAAAUGGAGGGAUUAUAAUUUUUCCAUUUUACAUAGUUGCAAUUGGUGAAGGCACUUUCCACACCAGUUUUUACAAUUAUUAAACUGCCAUGGCAAUUACUUUCUUUCUGCAAUGACACCUUACAUAUUUGUGCCAUUUUUUAUGUUGUUGAUCGUUGUUGUGAAUGCAAUUUUCACCCUUCACAGUCCGUAAAAUUGCCAUGGGCAAUUUAGUACGAUCUUUUGGCAAGAGCCCAUGACACCUUAUAUAUUCUUUUUGCACGGGAUUUUUCAUAAAAUGUGUAUCCAACACAUGGCAAUUUUUUGAAAAUGUUUGCUUUUUAUCCUUCAUAUUUUCUUAGAAGAACAAAUGUUCUAUAUAACAUGGCAAGUUUGAAAUAUGUUUUUCAAAUGGCCACAAUCUAUUCUUUUUGUUAUUAUUUAAGAGAUGUCAUUUAUUAUUAUUAAGAGAUGGCUAGCAUUUUUUGUUUAUUAAGAGAUGGCAUUUUUUGUUUAUUUAGAGAUGAUGGCAUUUUUUGUUUAUUUAGAGAUGACUUUUAUUAUUUUUAAGAGAUGGCAUUUUUUAUUUAUUAAGAGAUAGCAUUUUUGUUUAUUAAGAGGUGGAAUUUUUUAUUUAUUAAGAGAUGGCAUUUUUGUUUAUUAAGAGAUGACAUUUUAUAUUAAGGUAUGGAAUUUUUAUUAUUAAGAGAAGUCAUUUUUUUACUAAUAGAUUACAUUUUUAUUAUUAAGAGAUGGCAUUUUUUACCAUGGCAUUUUUCUUAUUCUUUGUUACAUGGCAACUCAAAUUAUAGGGCCAUGACAAGUUUAAAACAUUUUUUGAAUAUCCAUGGUGAAUUUAUGAUAUUAUAGGACGGCAUAUUUUAGAAGUCCAGAGCAUGGAUUUUUUUGAAAAUGUCUGUUUUUUAUCCUUCACAUUUUCUUAUAAGAUCAAAUGUUCUAUAUAACGUGGAAAGUUUGAAAUAUGUUUUUCAAAUGGUCAUAAUCUGUUUCUUUCUGGUUUUGCCAUGGCACAUUCAAAACAUUAUGUUUCCCAUGGCAAAUAUCAUGGCAACUUUAUGUUGGCAUUUUUCUUACGGACAAAUGGGGUGGCAACUUUUUCUAGGUGUUACAAAAUGGUUUCAUGGCAUGUGUAUUUUUCCAUACAUGGCAAAUUUGUCAUGUUUUGUAUGGUAUUUUUAUAAAAGUUUUGCCAUGCAUGGCUGGGAUUUUUUUGCCCAACUGGGGUUCGAUCUCACAACCUCUUUUAGAGGCAAGUUCUGUUCUGGAGGGGCAGGGGGUUUAUCGGUGCGAACGAUUUCGUUCGCUGCAGCCUCCCCCCACGCUAGCUGGUUAUUGUUGCUGUAAAAAAAAAGGAGCUGGUUCUUGUUAGCGUAUUGUAUUUUAUGUGUACAUUGUACCUGUGUAUGUGUAUCCUCCUGGUAUAUAGGAUCGUGAGUAGUGCCCGGGCCUGCGUGCCACUUCCUUCGGGUUUCUUUCAGAGGCACUGGGCUUUACUGAAAGAUGAUAUUGUUCUGGCCAUUUUGGAUUUUUUUAAUGGGGGUAUUUUGCCCGAGGGGUUGAAUGACACGUCCAUCACCUUGAUCCCAAAGGUACGACACCCACAUCGAAUCACUCAGUAUAGACCCAUAUCCUUAUGUUCUGUCUUAUACAAGAUUGCCUCAAAAUGCAUCACCAAUAGAAUGAGGGUUUUUAUGGGGGAGAUAAUCAGUGAAGAACAAAGCGCGUUUGUCCCUGGGCGCCUAAUAACUGAUAAUGUGCUCAUUGCGUAUGAAAGUGUUCAUGCAAUGAAACGACGGAAGAGAGGGAAGAAUUGUGUUUGUGCAAUGAAACUUGACAUGAUGAAGGCAUAUGACCGAGUAGAAUGGCAUUAUCUGGAAGCCAUCAUGCUGCGUUUGGGUUUCAGCGCACAGUUUGUCAGACUGAUAAUGAAGUGUGUCACGUCGGUUAGAUUUACUGUUCCUGUGAACAGGGAGUUGCUGCCAUUUUUUACACCCUCAAGAGGGUUUCGUCAAGGGGACCCUGUCUCACCGUAUUUGUUCCUCCUAUGUGCAGAAGGUUUCACUUCCUUGCUGAAGUUUUAUGGAGGAGUCAAUAUCGACAGAGGUAUUCGCGUAAGCUAUCAAUCGCCUUGGAUAAAUCAUCUUCUGUUCACGGAUGAUAGUCUUAUUCUCAUGAAUGCACAGGUAGCUAGUGCACUCAGGUUGAAUGAGGUGCUACAGAUUUACAGUGACUGCUCCGGUCAGUGUGUUAAUAGGGACAAGAGCUCGGUCUAUUUCAGUCCUAACACAACCGAACCAGUGCGCUGUUUGUUGAAGGCAGUUCUGAACAUCUCAGUUGAAGCGUUCAGUGAACGAUAUCUGGGACUCCCAACUGCUGUUGGCCGUAUCACUAGUGGAACUUUCGAAUUUCUCAGAGAAAGGAUGAGAAGCAAACUACAAGUAGGAGUGGAAUGUCUCAUUUCUUGUGCUGGCAGGGAGGUCAAGCUGAAAGCUGUGGCCCAAGCAAUACCCACACACUCCAUGAGUUGCUUCAGACUCACUAAGAAGGUCUGCAAAGGCCUUUCUUCUGUCAUGGCUAGAUAUUGGUGGAGUAGCUCAAUCGAUCGCAGAUCGCUCCAUUGGAUUGAUUGGCCUUCACUUGCUGAACCCAAGGUUGCUGGAGGGAUGGGGUUUCGUAACCUAGAAUUGUUCAACUUAGCCCUGCUCGGAAAGCAUGGGUGGAAUUUGAUUAUCAACCCGGACUCUCUCUGUGCUCGUGUACUGAAGGGAAAAUAUUUCCCGCAAAGUGACUUCAUGGCCGCAACUGUCCCAAAGUGUGCCUCGGCCACAUGGCGUGCAAUUUGUGCGGGCAAACAAGCUUUGGGAGCUGGCCUAGUGAAACGAAUUGGUGAUGGCACAUCGGUGUCCAUUUGUUAUGAUAGCUGGGUGCCGGGCCUACUCUCCUUACGGCCAACUACUCACAUUGGUGACACAAAUAUUACUGCUGUGUCUGAGUUGAUCGAUGGAGACCGAGGUUUAUGGAAGGUUGAGCUGGUGAGGCACCAUUUUAUCACCCCCAAAGCUGAUGCAAUCCUCAAUAUCCCGUUAAGGGCGAAUGGGGGCGAGGAUUAUUGGGCAUGGACUGCAGAAAAGUCGGGUAUCUACACUAUGAAAUCAGCGUACCGUUCUCUCAUGACCUUGAAUGAGCACUCUGCUCAAAGGGAAGGGACGGCCACGGAAACCUCAGAGCAACAAAAAUAGUUGUGGACAAGACUUUGGAAGCUAAAAGUUGUGCCAAAAGUCAGAGUGUUUUGGUGGCGAGUGCUUAGGGGAAUUCUUCCCACUGAGGGCGCUUUGAAACAUCAACACACCGCUGUCUUGGCACGUUGCAAAGUCUGCCUAGAUGCAGACGAGGAUAUAUAUCACGCAUUGAUUAAAUGCACUCAUGCUAAGCUCUUCUGGAAGGAGGCGAGGGAAAUUUUAUCUGUCAAACUACCGGAGCUCCAUACAGAAACUUGGUCAAGGGACAUUUUAUGUGACCCUAGAUUCAAUGAGGCAGAUCAAGCAAAAGUUAUUACUGUCAUGUGGGCAAUUUGGACAUCCAGGAACAAUAUUACACAUGAUAGGGCUAGCUUGGAUCCAGUUCACUCCAUGAAGAUGACAAGAGAGGCCUUGUCGCUGCUAGAACUACCCCAACAACAUGCAAUGAUCUUACCGGGCCAUGGUUGGCGACCACCUGAUGCAGAUUGUAUAAAUGCUGGGAUUUCCAUGGAGGCAAGGAAGUGCGGGCUGGGAGGUGUUGCCAGAUCUGCUACUACAUUCUUGAGUGCCUGGUGCAAACCUAUCCAGGGCACUACGAAUCCACUUGUCGCGGAGGCCUUGCUCUCCAUGAAGGUGUGGUUUUUGCUCAACUUCAUGGCUUUGUGCGGGUGGAGAUGGAGACCGACAGCAUGGAGGUCGUCGAUCUUUGGAACUCGCGCCGUUCUUCGCGCUCGCUGAUAGCGCCUGUGUUACUUGAUAUUGAGGGUUUAGCUGCCUCUUUUUCCUUUUUUACUAUUCGUCAUGUAAAGAGACAUGCCAAUAUCCCCGCCCACCUGUGUGCAUAACAUGCCUGCACAAGGGAGGUAACGGAGUGUUGGAUGAACAAUCCUCCUGGCUUACUAAUCACCAGUCUAAUGGCUGACAGUGCAGGAGCAAUCUAUCUGGAAUAAAACCCUCAUUAUCCCACAAAAAAAACAC
rnacentral:lncRNA from 1 species